GACGAACGCUGGCGGCGUGCUUAACACAUGCAAGUCGAACGAAGUGGCGAACGGGUGAGUAACGCGUAAUCAACCUGCCCUUCAGAGGGGGACAACAGUUGGAAACGACUGCUAAUACCGCAUACUGUAGGAGGGGAUUGCGUCUGAUUAGCUAGUUGGCGGGGUAACGGCCCACCAAGGCGAUGAUCAGUAUGCGGUCUUGGAGGAUGAACGGCCACAAUGGGACUUGGACACGGCCCAGACUCCUAAGGGAAGCAGGAGUGGGGAAUCUUCCGCAAUGGGCGAAAGGCUGGAGGAGCAACGCCGCGGGAGUGAUGGCGGCCUUCGGGUUGGAAAGAUAUGUUAAUCGGGACGCGGUACCGGAAGAGAAAGCAACGGCUAACUACGUGCCAGCAGCCGCGGUAAUAC
rnacentral:rRNA from 1 species